UACGUAGGGUGCAAGCGUUAAUCGGAAUUACUGGGCGUAAAGCGUGCGCAGGCGGUGAUGUAAGACAGUUGUGAAAUCCCCGGGCUUAACCUGGGAACUGCGCUUGUAACUGGCAAGCUGGAGUGUGGCAGAGGGGGGUGGAAUUCCACGUGUAGCAGUGAAAUGCGUAGAGAUGUGGAGGAACACCGAUGGCGAAGGCAGCCCCCUGGGCUAACACUGGCGCUCAUGCACGAAAGCGUGGGGAGCAAACAGG
rnacentral:rRNA from 1 species